rnacentral:rRNA from 1 species
AUUGAACGCUGGCGGCAGGCUUAACACAUGCAAGUCGAGCGAGCGGCGGACGGGUGAGUAACGUCUGGGAAACUCCCUGCUGGAGGGGGUUCACCAUUGGAAACGGUAGCUAAUCCCGCAUACUAUCUGCUGUGCCCAGAUGGGACUAGCUAGGAGGUGGGGUAAUGGCUCCCCUAGGCGACGAUCCCUAGCGGGUGUGAGAGGAUGACCAGGCACACGGGAACUGAGACACGGUCCAGAGGCCUACGCGAGGCAGCAGUGGAGAAUAUGGCACUAUGGGAGCAAGCGUGAUGCAGCCAUGCCGCGUGUGUGAAGGAGGCCUGCGGGUUGUAAAGCACUUUCAGCGAGGAGGCGUAACUCGCAGAAGAAGCACGGGCAAACUCCGGGCCAGCGGCCGCGUAAUUC